GGGCCUUUAGCUCAGUUGGUUAGAGCGUCCGCUUGAUAAGCGGGAGGUCGUAGGUUCAAGUCCUACAAGGCCCACCA
rnacentral:tRNA from 1 species